CCCACUCCAACACUCAGACAUCAUUACAGAUAGACAGGGGCACACUCCAACACUCAGACAUCAUUACAGAUAGACCGGGGCCCACUCCAACACUCAGACAUCAUUACAGAUAGACAGGGGCCCACUCCAACACUCAGAGAUCAUUACAGAUAGACCGGGGCACACUCCAACACUCAGAGAUCAUUACAGAUAGACCGGGGCCCACUCCAACACUCAGAGAUCAUUACAGAUAGACCGGGGCCCACUCCAACACUCAGACAUCAUUACAGAUAGACAGGGGCCCACUCCAACACUCAGAGAUCAUGGUGAUUCUCUGAUACACUUCUGGCCCUUCUUUGGACACUGUGUUAACUAACCUCCAGACGAGCUUCAAUACCAUACAACUCUCCUUCUGUGGCCUCUAACUGCUCUUAAAUGCAAGUAAAACUAAAUGCAUGCUCUUCAACCGAUCACUGCCCGCCCGUUCAGCAUCACUACUCUGAACGGUUCUGACUUAGAAUAUGUGGACAACUACAAAUACCUAGGUGUCUGGUGAGACUGUAAACUCUCCUUCCAGACUCACAUUAAGCAUCUCUAAUCCAAAAUUAAAUCUAGAAUCAGCUUCCGAUUUCGCAACAAAGCAUCCUUGACUCAUGCUGCCAAACAUACCCUCAUAAAACUGACUAUCCUACCAAUUCUCGACUUCGGAGAUGUCAUUUACAAAAUAGCCAACACUCUACUCAGCAAAUUGGAUCACAGUGCUAUCCGUUUUGUCACCAAAGCCCCAUAUACUACCCACCACUGUGACCUGUAUGCUCUCGUUGGCUGGCCCGCUCUUCAAAUUCGUCAUCAAACCAAGUCAUCUAAAAGUCUUUGCUAGGUAAAGCCACCUUAUCUCAGCUCACUGGUCAACCAUAGCAGCACCCACCCGUAGCAUGCGCUCCAGCAGGUAUAUUUCACUGGUCACCAUAGAAACUCCCACCCGUAGCACGCGCCCCAGCAGGUAUAUUUCACUGGUCACCAAAGAAACUCCCACCCGUAGCACGCGCCCCAGCAGGUAUAUUUCACUGGUCAUCCCCAAAGCCAAUUCCAACUUUGGCCACCUUCCUUCCAGUUCUCUGCUGCCAAUGACUGGAACGAACUGCAAAAAUCACUGAAGCUGGAGACUCAUAUCUCCCUCACUAACUUUAAGCACCAGCUCACAGAUCACUGCACCUGUUCAGAGCCCAUCUGUAAACAGCCCAUCCAACUACCUCAUCCCCAUACUGUAAUCUAUUUGAUUUAUUUUGCUCCUUUGCACCCCAGUAUCUCUACUUGCACAUUCAUCUUCU
ensembl:lncRNA